GGUGAUAGACAACAGCUAAUAGGAAUUCCCUGCUGUUACUACACGUACUGCAGCUCGACAUUUAAUCGCUGUCACAUUAUUUUCUUAUCCCAGAUUGUCCUACAUGGUAUCAUAGGAUCAGACAUCUGACAGGCCUAAAGAAGCCUUCUAGAAUAGACCAGACAUUGAAGAUUUGCCUUUGUUGUAAGAAGAGAACAAUGUCCACAGAAGUUAUAUACAUAUCCAUGUAGUAAAAUAUUUUCAUGGACAGUCAUAGCUAAUGUCAACUUUGUGUACCAUUUUGUAUUGAAAUUUCCAACUUGCCCAUCUCUACAAGUCCAUGAAAAACGUCCUUUCUUACACAUUCCAUACAUAAAUGUAUGAAAGUGCUGAAUAUCAUGUGUUUAAAAUGAAUGGGGGUUGAUGUUAAUUUGUUAUGUUAACAAGAAACAGUUUGGUAUUUCCACAUGCAAUUUGACUAUGUUAAUAGUCUACAAUCUAUCACACCAAGAAAUGACAGAAGUAACUUCUUAACUAUGUAAAAGUGUCAGGGAUUUUGCUAAUGUUUCUUCUUCAGAGGAAAGAUAACUCACACUUCCAUCUGGAUCCAGCUCAGCUGCUGCGAAAGAGCAGCAUCAGCAACCAGAGCAGCAGAAACAGCAGAGUCAGAGUUCAGGUCCCAGUGCCAUCCUGUUGUUUCUGAAGAAGAAGGAAAAUGAUACUGGAAAAAUACAGCAGAAUGCAUCAGGAAGAGGUAUUACACUUGGCUGUAAAGCUCUUAACUAAGUAACCACUGGAGGUUUUCACUUUCUUUUCUUUUAUUUUGGUAAUCAGACCUGAUCUAUGAUUCUGUUAGCACUUUGCAUGUCACAUUGAAGAUUCACACCAGAAAAGGACUGUGAUGCAUAUUCCUGAGGUCUACAGAACACCAGUGAGCUCACUGUUCUGCUGUAUGCUGGCUUUCGUCCUGGACUUCACCUGAGAGGAACAGAGCCAAAGGAAGGAGGAGAUGAGAUCAACAGCAAAAGCAGAAACCGUGAUCAACUUUUACGAGAAGAUGAAAAAAAUCAUGUGGACGCUAGCAGAAGAAAAAACACUAAACCACACAGUUAAAGUGGCCCACAGUGAAGAGAAACUGAGUAAUAUUAGCAAAGCGAGGCAAUGAAAUGUGUGAAAUUCAAGUUUAUGCUAAUGUAUGAAAUGCAGUGCUAGAUUUGGCUUCUGAAGCACCAAGCUAUUUUCUCCAACAACCAUAUUUGUCAUUUGCCCACAAAUAUAAUUAAAAGCACAGAACUAAAAGGAUUCAGAUUGCUGACCUGAUCACAGAAGUUGAGGAAGAGUUUUCCUGCUGACUCCAGG
rnacentral:lncRNA from 1 species